rnacentral:rRNA from 1 species
CCUACGGGAGGCAGCAGUGAGGAAUAUUGGUCAAUGGACGAGAGUCUGAACCAGCCAAGUAGCGUGAAGGAUGACUGCCCUAUGGGUUGUAAACUUCUUUUAUAAAGGAAUAAAACGAGGCACGUGUGCCUUUUUGCAUGUACUUUAUGAAUAAGGAUCGGCUAACCUCGUGCCAGCAGCCGCGGUAAUACGGAGGAUCCGAGCGUUAUCCGGAUUUGUUGGGUUGAAAGGGAGCGUAGAGGGGUUGUUAAGUCAGUUGUGAAAGUUUGCGGCGCAACCGUAAAAUUGCAAUUGAUACUGGCAGUCUUGAGUACAGUAGAGGUAGGCGGAAUUCGAGGUGUAGCGGUGAAAUGCGUAGAUAUCACGAAGAACCCCGAUUGCGAAGGCAGCUUACUAAACUGUGACUGACAUUGAUGCUCGAAAGUGUGGGGAGCAAACAGGAUUAGAUACCCGGGUAGUC